GGGAGCCCAACGUGGGACUCCAUCCCAGGUCUCCAGGAUCACACCCCAGGCUGCAGGUGGAGCUGGUACUACAUUCUGAGGCAAAUGGAGUUUUUCCUGAGAUUCUUCAAUCAGGAAAGGAGAGAGGUCAAAUAAGAGUCUAAAAUUCUCAGAACCGAAGGAAAUCCUCCCACUGUUCUCCGCCAUUCCCUCCUCUCCCACUGACCCCUUACCUCAUUACUGCCUCAGUCUGCUAAAUAUCCACCUUGCCAUGCCCACCUGGCUGCCUCUUUCCCUCCACCUCCCUCCUUGCUGCUUAACCAUCAGUUUUUCAACUGUCUCCCUGUCCCACAAAUGCCUUCACAGGAAAGGCCAGAGGCCCUGGGCUCAGUGGCUGGGGUCUCCACCCUGUGAGCUCUGACGGAAUUUUAGUGCAAUCCAGCAUCGUUCAUCAUUGUCAGGUCUCUGUUGCACUGAGAGAUCGCCACAGCAAGUGCAAAUCCACUGUUCAGACAUCAGAUAGGCAAGUUGUCUUCAUUUCAGAUUCCCAGAAAGGUGACAGUUCUUCUCCCAAGUUAAAACACUUCAGGUCAGAAGCCAGGACACAUGAGAAAUCCUCGUCUUUUUCCAGGCCCAUGUUGGCUUUGGAGUAGCUGGAACCAGGCCCUGAGGUUGUGGCAAGGAAUGCAGCUUUCUCUUACUUGGGCAAAAACUAUGCAGAAUCUCCUAUAAAGGAAUAAGCUUCUCUUCGGAAAUAUGCGGGACAUGCUAUAUAGCACCAGCCAUGGGACAUGGAAAGAGGAGAAAGAGAUUCCCUGUUUUGCAGAGGGAUACCUCAGAACGAGUCACAGAAAAAGCAGGCUUCUGGGAUUUCUCUGCCUCUGUUGUUCUAACCACCAUCUACUCUCAUGUCCCCUAGACCUGUACCCCUAAAGCCAGCCUAUUUAAAAUAAAUCGCCCACAGUCUGUUCAAAAGAGAUUUGUUCUCCUGAAUUUGUCCCAGACUGAAAACUGCACACGUCCAAGGUUUAAGAGCUUAUGUUAGGAGAAAUUGAACAUUAUCUCAGGAUAAUGUUUUCCUACUGCUACUUAAAUUUCCAGAGGCAUUUACAAAAAUUAAACUUCAAUGGGAAGCCAAGUCCUUUAUUUAUGAAGCCAGCAAUAGACAUUGAUCCUGUGAUAAUGUUAUUAUUUUUCUUAUUGCUCUUGUCCAUGUGCAUUUCAUCAUCAUUGGGUUGGAUGAGUAUAGGGUGGCAUGGGGAUAGAAUGUUUAUUGACUUGCAGUUUCUUGGUGCUUUAAAAAAG